rnacentral:lncRNA from 1 species
GUGCCAAAAACCAGGGAACCACAUGCCUAAGAGUCUCUCUCUUGGCGUGUGGAUUUAAAUCCAUGCGCAUGAGCCACAUGGCGCAUGGAUGGAGUUGGCGCCACCUUUAGAUAAGGUCUAUCCUAUUUUUCUCCGCAAUCUUUAUUCUACAAAUGUAUUUCAGAUGUCUUAGGAGGCGCCUAAGAGUCCUUCUAAGUAUUAAACUCAUCGUAGAAGAAUUAAGAAAAGGAUAAGGAUUAAAUCCAUGCGCCACCUCUUGGAAGCGCCCCUUUGAAAUUUCAAAUGGGGAGAUAAGUUUUAAAUUAUCCACGCCCAUUAAUCUCUUGCGCCAUUCUUCAAAUUGGCACCAUAUAUAUUGGCCAUUGGAUGGGCUUUCUUCCAGAUCCAAAGGCAUGGGUUGAUGGCGUCAAUAAGAGAAGCUUCGUGACUUCUCAUCUGAACACCGUAAGUUAAA